GACGCUAAAUGGUUACAUUUUAUUUUAUCUCAAAAGAGUUGAGUACAUUUUUUCUUGAUUAACACCUCAUUAGCUUGCACAGAACUCUAUUUGGAAGCAAAGCAGAAUAUGAAAAAUGGCAUUCAAAAUAAUUCUUUCUUAGACUGAUCUGUUUUAAAUGUAUUGGAUACAUUAAUGAAAUAAAUGUUAACAAAGAGGACAGAACUGAUAGUUUCUCGCUUACACUGCCUUCAGCUUUUAAAUACAAUUGAUUUUACCUUCACAGAUGUAUCCUACGUAUGGAAGAGGAAAAAAAAUCCCAAGCUUUUUCAGCUCCUAAUCCGUUUCCAAGUUUGAACUAGUUGUUCAAAUUGAGCUGGUUAAAGUGAAAUUGAACUGCAAGAAACAGCUGCUGCUAUCAGACUGUGGUUUAGCACUUCAAAAAACUUGCUUCCUGACUCUUGCUCUGUGGAGAGGAAGGUGUUUUGUGCUACUCCAUUCAUCAUUUCAGUGCAUUCUCUUUAAGACUUUGGCAAGACAUAGCUGCUUAAAAUUUUAAGAGAUUAUAGUGCAUACAGCUAUAACAGAGGUUAUUGAUUUCAUAUUUUCAGAGAAAAUAUUUAAUUUAAUCAGUCUUUUCUAAAAUAAAUGUUUAUUUUUCCUCAUUUGUUCUAGGGCAGUACUUUGUGCAGACUCUGGGGCUCAUUUUAGUGGUAAGGUAGUACCACAUUAUGCUACAACGCCAAGCCCUGAGGCACGAACAGAUUUUCAGUAAGCAAAUCUGCAAGUAAUAGUUGUGAUGUACUCCAGAAACCAGUUCUUUGUACUUGUACAUGGCAGCAGUACUAUGCACAUAACAUUUGUGUCCCCUUCCAAGUUUUCUCAUGAGAGAGGUUGAUCAAAACCAGACUGCUCUCUAUGCUUUUUAAAGAUCCUCUGUUGGUGGCAAUCUGGGUUUGGGUGCCAUUUUUCUAUGGAGCCUCUCAGUCUCUCCCCUCAUGACCAGGCAUUAGUCUGUUAUGUGACAUG
rnacentral:lncRNA from 1 species